rnacentral:rRNA from 1 species
CGAAAGCCUGACGCAGCCAUGCCGCGUGUGUGAAGAAGGCCUUCGGGUUGUAAAGCACUUUCAAUUGGGAGGAAAGGCUCACGGUUAAUAACCGUGAGUUGUGACGUUACCUUUAGAAGAAGGACCGGCUAACUCCGUGCCAGCAGCCGCGGUAAUACGGAGGGUGCAAGCGUUAAUCGGAAUUACUGGGCGUAAAGCGCGCGUAGGUGGUCUGUUAAGUCGGAUGUGAAAGCCCCGGGCUCAACCUGGGAACUGCAUCCGAUACUGGCAGACUAGAGUGCGGGAGAGGGAGGUAGAAUUCCA